rnacentral:rRNA from 1 species
UACGUAGGUGGCGAGCGUUGUCCGGAUUUACUGGGCGUAAAGAGCGCGCAGGCGGCUGGGCAAGUCCGAUGUGAAAGCUUCCGGCUUAACUGGAAAAUUGCAUCGGAAACUGCUCGGCUUGAAGGUGGGAGAGGGUAGCGGAAUUCCCGGUGUAGUGGUGAAAUGCGUAGAUAUCGGGAGGAACAUCUGUGGCGAAGGCGACACCCUGGACCAGCACUGACACUGAGGCACGAAAGCGUGGGGAGCGAACAGG